rnacentral:rRNA from 1 species
UACGUAGGGUGCAAGCGUUGCUCGGAAUUAUUGGGCGUAAAGAGCUCGUAGGCGGUUCGUCGCGUCGGCUGUGAAAACCCGGAGCUCAACUCCGGGCCUGCAGUCGAUACGGGCGGACUUGAGUGUUGCAGGGGAGACUGGAAUUCCUGGUGUAGCGGUGAAAUGCGCAGAUAUCAGGAGGAACACCGGUGGCGAAGGCGGGUCUCUGGGCCGUAACUGACGCUGAGGAGCGAAAGCAUGGGGGAGCGAACAGG